rnacentral:rRNA from 1 species
GAUGAACGCUAGCGGCAGGCUUAAUACAUGCAAGUCGAGGGGCAGCACAGGUAGCAAUACUGGGUGGCGACCGGCAAACGGGUGCGGAACACGUACACAACUUACCUUAAGGUGGGGGAUAGCCCAGGGAAACUUGGAUUAAUACCCCAUAAUACAGGGGGCCCGCAUGGGUCUAUUGUUAAAGAUUUAUUGCCUUAAGAUGGGUGUGCGUCUGAUUAGGUAGUUGGUGAGGUAAAGGCUCACCAAGCCAACGAUCAGUAACUGGUGUGAGAGCACGACCAGUCACACGGGCACUGAGACACGGGCCCGACUCCUACGGGAGGCAGCAGUAAGGAAUAUUGGUCAAUGGACGGAAGUCUGAACCAGCCAUGCCGCGUGAAGGAUGAAGGUCCUCUGGAUUGUAAACUUCUUUUAUAGGGGGCGAAAAAGGGCCUUUUGAGGUCGACUGACGGUACCCUAUGAAUAAGCACCGGCUAACUCCGUGCCAGCCGCCGCUGUAAAAC